rnacentral:rRNA from 1 species
AGAGUUUGAUCCUGGCUCAGGACGAACGCUGGCGGCGUGCCUAAUACAUGCAAGUAGAACGCUGAAGAGAGGAGCUUGCUCUUCUUGGAUGAGUUGCGAACGGGUGAGUAACGCGUAGGUAACCUGCCUUGUAGCGGGGGAUAACUAUUGGAAACGAUAGCUAAUACCGCAUAACAAUGGAUGACCCAUGUCAUUUAUUUGAAAGGGGCAAAUGCUCCACUACAAGAUGGACCUGCGUUGUAUUAGCUAGUAGGUGAGGUAACGGCUCACCUAGGCGACGAUACAUAGCCGACCUGAGAGGGUGAUCGGCCACACUGGGACUGAGACACGGCCCAGACUCCUACGGGAGGCAGCAGUAGGGAAUCUUCGGCAAUGGGGGCAACCCUGACCGAGCAACGCCGCGUGAGUGAAGAAGGUUUUCGGAUCGUAAAGCUCUGUUGUAAGUCAAGAACGAGUGUGAGAGUGGAAAGUUCACACUGUGACGGUAGCUUACCAGAAAGGGACGGCUAACUACGUGCCAGCAGCCGCGGUAAUACGUAGGUCCCGAGCGUUGUCCGGAUUUAUUGGGCGUAAAGCGAGCGCAGGCGGUUUGAUAAGUCUGAAGUUAAAGGCUGUGGCUCAACCAUAGUUCGCUUUGGAAACUGUCAAACUUGAGUGCAGAAGGGGAGAGUGGAAUUCCAUGUGUAGCGGUGAAAUGCGUAGAUAUAUGGAGGAACACCGGUGGCGAAAGCGGCUCUCUGGUCUGUAACUGACGCUGAGGCUCGAAAGCGUGGGGAGCGAACAGGAUUAGAUACCCUGGUAGUCCACGCCGUAAACGAUGAGUGCUAGGUGUUGGAUCCUUUCCGGGAUUCAGUGCCGCAGCUAACGCAUUAAGCACUCCGCCUGGGGAGUACGACCGCAAGGUUGAAACUCAAAGGGAUUGACGGGGGCCCGCACAAGCGGUGGAGCAUGUGGUUUAAUUCGAAGCAACGCGAAGAACCUUACCAGGUCUUGACAUCCCGAUGCUAUUUCUAGAGAUAGAAAGUUACUUCGGUACAUCGGUGACAGGUGGUGCAUGGUUGUCGUCAGCUCGUGUCGUGAGAUGUUGGGUUAAGUCCCGCAACGAGCGCAACCCCUAUUGUUAGUUGCCAUCAUUCAGUUGGGCACUCUAGCGAGACUGCCGGUAAUAAACCGGAGGAAGGUGGGGAUGACGUCAAAUCAUCAUGCCCCUUAUGACCUGGGCUACACACGUGCUACAAUGGUUGGUACAACGAGUUGCGAGUCGGUGACGGCAAGCUAAUCUCUUAAAGCCAAUCUCAGUUCGGAUUGUAGGCUGCAACUCGCCUACAUGAAGUCGGAAUCGCUAGUAAUCGCGGAUCAGCACGCCGCGGUGAAUACGUUCCCGGGCCUUGUACACACCGCCCGUCACACCACGAGAGUUUGUAACACCCGAAGUCGGUGAGGUAACCUUUUGGAGCCAGCCGCCUAAGGUGGGAUAGAUGAUUGGGGUGAAGUCGUAACAAGGUA